UGACCAGCUAGAAGGGUGGGAUGAGAGGGAGAUGGGACGAAGUGUCGGAGGGAUGGGGCAUGGGUGAACCCAUGGAUGAUUCUUGUUGAUGUUGGACAGAAAACCACGAAAUUCUGUAAAGCAAUCAUCCUUCAGUUAAAAAACAAAGUGCAAAAAAAGAACCACCUGGCCUAUGGUGUUUCUGUUUCAGUAGCCUGAAAGGGCAGACACAGGACAAGUGAGAAUUACAGCACAGGUGAAUUAAGGUACCUAAUCAUUCGGCCUUAAGAUAGGGAAAAGACGUGGAGUAUCUGGCUGUGCCCAAUGCCAUCUCACUACAAGGAGCCUUAGACGUGGAGGAGGACGCAGACCCGUGUCAGAGAUGCACACUGAGAGGCUAAACCAGCCUCUCAUCAGCUCACACUGAUGUGCAGAGGCCAUAAGCCAAGGAGGGCAGGCAGCUUCUAAGCGUGAGAAGGAAGCAAGCCUCCAGAAGGAACGGCAUGCUGCUGACACCGUGAUUUGAAGCCAAUGAGACGCAUUUGGGACUUUGGAUCCUCAGAACCACAAUAACAAAAAUGCCCAUGGUGCAUCUGCCAACUCUUUUUCAUCUCGAGGGUUGUAUUUGGGACUCAGUCUUACACCUCAUAUAUCUUGUAUCCCUUUUAUCCUUUAUUUUUAGUUUGUUUUAUUAUCAUGGAAUGUUUAUCUGCCAUUAAGUGUGGUUUCGUGGUACUGUUUAUAUAAAAUUUUGAUCAUAUUC